GAUGAAGAACGUAGCGAAAUGCGAUAAGUAGUGUGAAUUGCAGAAUUCAGUGAAUCAUCGAAUCUUCGAACGCACAUUGCGCCCCUUGGUAUUCCAUGGGGCAUGCCUGUUCGAGCGUCAUUUGUACCCUCAAGCUUUGCUUGGUGUUGGGCGUCUUGUCGUAUUACGACUCGCCUUAAAUACAUUGGCAGCCGGCACUUUGGCCUAGGAGCGCAGCACAUUUUGCGAUCGUAGCCCGUUGUACUGGCGUCCAUCAAGAACAUUUACCACGUUUGACCUCGGAUCAGGUAGGGAUACCCGCUGAACUUAAGCAUAUCAAUAAGCGGAGGA
rnacentral:misc_RNA from 1 species